UACGAAGGGGGCUAGCGUUGCUCGGAAUCACUGGGCGUAAAGCGCACGUAGGCGGAUCUUUAAGUCAGGGGUGAAAUCCUGGAGCUCAACUCCAGAACUGCCUUUGAUACUGAAGAUCUUGAGUUCGGGAGAGGUGAGUGGAACUGCGAGUGUAGAGGUGAAAUUCGUAGAUAUUAGGAAGAACACCAGUGGCGAAGGCGGCUUACUGGUCCGGUACUGACGCUGAGGUGCGAAAGCGUGGGGAGCAAACAGG
rnacentral:rRNA from 1 species